rnacentral:rRNA from 1 species
GUGGGGAAUAUUGGGCAAUGGGGGCAACCCUGACCCAGCGACGCCGCGUGAGGGAAGAAGGCCUUAGGGUCGUAAACCUCUGUUGUGUGGGAAGAAGGAAGUGACGGUACCACACGAGGAAGUCCCGGCUAACUACGUGCCAGCAGCCGCGGUAAUACGUAGGGGACGAGCGUUGUCCGGAAUUACUGGGCGUAAAGGGCGCGUAGGCGGGCAUUUAAGUCAGCUGUGAAAUGGUCCGGCUCAACCGGAUCAUGCGGUUGAAACUGGAUGACUGGAGUGCUGGAGAGGCAAGUGGAAUUCCCAGUGUAGCGGUGAAAUGCGUAGAUAUUGGGAAGAACACCGGUGGCGAAGGCGACUUGCUGGCCAGCAACUGACGCUGAGGCGCGAAAGCCAGGGGAGCAAACGGGAUUAGAUACCCUGGUAGUCC